AUUGAACGCUGGCGGCAGGCCCAACACAUGCAAGUCGAACGGUAACAGGAAGCAGCUUGCUGCUUUGCUGACGAGUGGCGGACGGGUGAGUAAUGUCUGGGAAACUGCCUGAUGGAGGGGGAUAACUACUGGAAACGGUAGCUAAUACCGCAUAACGUCGCAAGACCAAAGAGGGGGACCUUCGGGCCUCUUGCCAUCGGAUGUGCCCAGAUGGGAUUAGCUAGUAGGUGGGGUAACGGCUCACCUAGGCGACGAUCCCUAGCUGGUCUGAGAGGAUGACGAGCCACACUGGAACUGAGACACGGUCCAGACUCCUACGGGAGGCAGCAGUGGUGAAUAUUGCACAAUGGGCGCAAGCCUGAUGCAGCCAUGCCGCGUGUAUGAAGAAGGCCUGCGGGUUGUAAAGUACUUUCAGCGGGGAGGAAGGGAGUAAAAUUAAUACCUUCGCUCAUUGACGGUACCCGCAGAAGAAGCACCGGCUAACUCCGUG
rnacentral:rRNA from 1 species